rnacentral:rRNA from 1 species
UAGGGAAUCUUCGGCAAUGGGGGGAACCCUGACCGAGCAACGCCGCGUGAGUGAAGAAGGUUUUCGGAUCGUAAAGCUCUGUUGUUAAGGAAGAACGAGUGUGAGAAUGGAAAGUUCAUGCUGUGACGGUACUUAACCAGAAAGGGACGGCUAACUACGUGCCAGCAGCCGCGGUAAUACGUAGGUCCCGAGCGUUGUCAGGAUUUAUUGGGCGUAAAGCGAGCGCAGGCGGUUAGAAAAGUCUGAAGUUAAAGGCAGUGGCUCAACCAUUGUAGGCUUUGGAAACUGUUUAACUUGAGUGCAGAAGGGGAGAGUGGAAUUCCAUGUGUAGCGGUGAAAUGCGUAGAUAUAUGGAGGAACACCGGUGGCGAAAGCGGCUCUCUGGUCUGUAACUGACGCUGAGGCUCGAAAGCGUGGGGAGCGAACAGG